rnacentral:rRNA from 1 species
AUGGACGAUGCCUUUAAGUUCAUUAUCAAAAAUGAUGGUCUCACCACCGAGUCCAACUACCCAUAUACCGCGACAGAUGACAAGUGCAAGAGUGGAACCAAUGGUGCCGCAACCAUCAAAAGCUAUGAGGACGUUCCAACCAACAAUGAGGGAGCCCUCAUGCAAGCCGUCGCAAGUCAACCCGUCUCGGUAGCUGUAGAUGGAGGAGAUAUGACGUUCCAAUUUUACAAAGGUGGAGUAAUGACUGGCUCAUGUGGCACUGACCUAGACCAUGGUAUUGCAGCUAUUGGUUAUGGCAAGACCAGCGAUGGCACAAAAUAUUGGUUGUUGAAGAAUUCAUGGGGAACAACAUGGGGCGAGAACAGAUAUUUAAGAAUGGAGAAGGACAUUACCGACAAGAGAGGCAUGUGUGGCCUUGCAAUGGAGCCUUCUUACCUCACUGCAUAG